rnacentral:rRNA from 1 species
UACGUAGGGUGCAAGCGUUGUCCGGAAUUAUUGGGCGUAAAGAGCUCGUAGGCGGUCUGUCGCGUCUGCUGUGAAAACUCAGGGCUUAACCCUGAGCUUGCAGUGGGUACGGGCAGACUAGAGUGCGGUAGGGGAGACUGGAAUUCCUGGUGUAGCGGUGAAAUGCGCAGGAUAUCAGGAGGGAACACCGGUGGGCGAAGGCGGGUCUCUGGGCCGUAACUGACGCUGGAGGCGACGGAAAGCUAGGGGAGCAAACGGG